rnacentral:rRNA from 1 species
GGGUUGUAAACUUCUUUUAUAUUAGAAUAAAGUGCAGUAUGUAUACUGUUUUGUAUGUAUAAUAUGAAUAAGGAUCGGCUAACUCCGUGCCAACAGCCGCGGUAAUACGGAGGAUCCGAGCGUUAUCCGGAUUUAUUGGGUUUAAAGGGAGCGUAGGUGGGCUGGUAAGUCAGUUGUGAAAGUUUGCGGCUCAACCGUAAAAUUGCAGUUGAUACUGUCAGUCUUGAGUACAGUAGAGGUGGGCGGAAUUCGUGGUGUAGCGGUGAAAUGCUUAGAUAUCACGAAGAACUCCGAUUGCGAAGGCAGCUCACUGGACUGCAACUGACACUGAUGCUCGAAAGUGUGGGUAUCAAACAGGAUUAGAUACCCUGGUAGUCCACACAGUAAA